rnacentral:tRNA from 1 species
AAGCAACCGCCGGCAGAACGGAUAUCAUUGAUGUUGAUAAAAAUAAAGUACUUCUUUGUUGCUUU